GACAUCCCGGAGACCCUUAGGGAACUAGGGGGUGCUUCCAUCUGGAAGAAUCUGGAGACAGGUGCUGCAUGGCUGUCGUCAGCUCGUGUCCGUGAGAUGUUGGGUUAAGUCCCGCAACGAGCGCAACCCUUGCCUUUAGUCGCCAGCAGUUCGGCUGGGCACUCUAAAGGGACUGCCGGUGUUAAACCGGGAGGAAGGUGGGGAUGACGUCAAGUCCUCAUGGCCGUUUAUGACCAGGGCUACACACGUACUACAAUGGCCGAUACAAAGGGCAGCGACGACUGCGAGGUGAAGCCAAUCCCGUAAAAUCGGUCUCAGUCCGGAUUGGAGUCUGCAACUCGACUCCAUGAAGUUGGAAUCGCUAGUAAUCGUGGAUCAGCAUGCCACGGUGAAUACGUUCCCGGGCCUU
rnacentral:rRNA from 1 species